rnacentral:rRNA from 1 species
AUUGAACGCUGGCGGCAGGCUUAACACAUGCAAGUCGAGCGGGGUGAUGGUGCUUGCACUAUCACUUAGCGGCGGACGGGUGAGUAAUGCUUAGGAAUCUGCCUAUUAGUGGGGGACAACAUCUCGAAAGGGAUGCUAAUACCGCAUACGUCCUACGGGAGAAAGCAGGGGAUCACUUGUGACCUUGCGCUAAUAGAUGAGCCAAAGUCGGAUUAGCUAGUUGGUUGGGUAAAGGCCUACCAAGGCGACGAUCUGUAGCGGGUGUGAGAGGAUGAUCCGCCACACUGGGACUGAGACACGGCCCAGGCUCCUACGGGAGGCAGCAGUGGGGAAUAUUGGACAAUGGGGGGAACCCUGAUCCAGCCAUGCCGCGUGUGUGAAGAAGGCCUUAUGGUUGUAAAGCACUUUAAGCGAGGAGGAGGCUCUUUUGGUUAAUACCCAAGAUGAGUGGACGUUACUCGCAGAAUAAGCACCGGCUAACUCUGUGCCAGCAGCCGCAGUAA